UGGGGAAUAUUGGACAAUGGGCGAAAGCCUGAUCCAGCCAUGCCGCGUGUGUGAAGAAGGUCUUCGGAUUGUAAAGCACUUUAAGUUGGGAGGAAGGGCAGUAAGCGAAUACCUUGCUGUUUUGACGUUACCGACAGAAUAAGCACCGGCUAACUCUGUGCCAGCAGCCGCGGUAAUACAGAGGGUGCAAGCGUUAAUCGGAAUUACUGGGCGUAAAGCGCGCGUAGGUGGUUCGUUAAGUUGAAUGUGAAAGCCCCGGGCUCAACCUGGGAACUUCAUCCAAAACUGGCGAGCUAGAGUAGGGCAGAGGGUGGUGGAAUUUCCUGUGUGGCGGUGAAAUGCGUAGAUAUAGGAAGGAACACCAGUGGCGAAGGCGACCACCUGGGCUCAUACUGACACUGAGGUGCGAAAGCGUGGGGAGCAAACAGG
rnacentral:rRNA from 1 species